rnacentral:piRNA from 1 species
CCCCAGGAAAGCAGGACUUGCUGCUAAGGG